rnacentral:tRNA from 1 species
GCCUGGAUAGUUCAGUGGCAGAACGCUUUCUUGGUAAGAAAGAGGUCCUGAGUCCGAUUCUCAGUCCAGGCU